rnacentral:tRNA from 1 species
UAUUAUUUAGUGUGGUAUUUUGAAGAUAUCUAGGAAAGUUAAAUCUUUAAAUAAUUU